AUUGAACGCUAGCGGGAGGCCUAACACAUGCAAGUCGAGCGGAGCGGCGGACGGGUGAGUAAUGCAUAGGAAUCUGCCUGGUAGUGGGGGAUAACUUCCGGAAAGGGGCGCUAAUACCGCAUACUAUCAGAUGAGCCUAUGUCGGAUUAGCUAGUUGGUGGGGUAAAGGCCUACCAAGGCGACGAUCCGUAACUGGUCUGAGAGGAUGAUCAGUCACACUGGAACUGAGACACGGCCCAGACUCCUACGGUAGGCAGCAGUGGGGAAUAUUGGACAAUGGGCGAAAGCCUGAUCCAGCCAUGCCGCGUGUGUGAAGAAGGCCUUCGGAUUGUAAAGCACUUUAAGUUGGGAGGCGUUACCAACAGAAUAAGCACCGGCUAACUACGUGCCAGCCGCCGCGGUAAUUC
rnacentral:rRNA from 1 species